rnacentral:rRNA from 1 species
GGUUAAGCGACUAAGCGUACACGGUGGAUGCCCUGGCAGUCAGAGGCGAUGAAGGACGUGCUAAUCUGCGAAAAGCGUCGGUAAGGUGAUAUGAACCGUUAUAGCCGGCGAUGUCCGAAUGGGGAAACCCAGUGCAAUUCGUUGCACUAUCGUUAACUGAAUACAUAGGUUAACGAGGCGAACCGGGGGAACUGAAACAUCUAAGUACCCCGAGGAAAAGAAAUCAACCGAGAUUCCCCCAGUAGCGGCGAGCGAACGGGGAGCAGCCCGGAGUCUGAAUCAGCUUGUGUGUUAGUGGAAGCGUCUGGAAAGUCGCAGGGUACAGGGUGAUACUCCCGUACACUAAAACACACAGGUUGUGAACUCGAAGAGUAGGGCGGGACACGUGGUAUCCUGUCUGAAUAUGGGGGGACCAUCCUCCAAGGCUAAAUACUCCUGACUGACCGAUAGUGAACCAGUACCGUGAGGGAAAGGCGAAAAGAACCCCGGCGAGGGGAGUGAAAAAGAACCUGAAACCGUGUACGUACAAGCAGUAGGAGCCCACUAGUUGGGUGACUGCGUACCUUUUGUAUAAUGGGUCAGCGACUUAUAUUCUGUAGCAAGGUUAACCGUAUAGGGGAGCCGCAGGGAAACCGAGUCUUAACUGGGCGUUAAGUUGCAGGGUAUAGACCCGAAACCCGGUGAUCUAGCCAUGGGCAGGUUGAAGGUUGGGUAACACUAACUGGAGGACCGAACCGACUAAUGUUGAAAAAUUAGCGGAUGACUUGUGGCUGGGGGUGAAAGGCCAAUCAAACCGGGAGAUAGCUGGUUCUCCCCGAAAGCUAUUUAGGUAGCGCCUCGUGAACUCAUCUUCGGGGGUAGAGCACUGUUUCGGCUAGGGGGUCAUCCCGACUUACCAACCCGAUGCAAACUACGAAUACCGAAGAAUGUUAUCACGGGAGACACACGGCGGGUGCUAACGUCCGUCGUGAAGAGGGAAACAACCCAGACCGCCAGCUAAGGUCCCAAAGUCAUGGUUAAGUGGGAAACGAUGUGGGAAGGCCCAGACAGCCAGGAUGUUGGCUUAGAAGCAGCCAUCAUUUAAAGAAAGCGUAAUAGCUCACUGGUCGAGUCGGCCUGCGCGGAAGAUGUAACGGGGCUAAACCAUGCACCGAAGCUGCGGCAGCGACACUAUGUGUUGUUGGGUAGGGGAGCGUUCUGUAAGCCGUUGAAGGUGGCCUGUGAGGGUUGCUGGAGGUAUCAGAAGUGCGAAUGCUGACAUAAGUAACGAUAAUGCGGGUGAAAAACCCGCACGCCGGAAGACCAAGGGUUCCUGUCCAACGUUAAUCGGGGCAGGGUGAGUCGACCCCUAAGGCGAGGCCGAAAGGCGUAGUCGAUGGGAAACAGGUUAAUAUUCCUGUACUUGGUGUUACUGCGAAGGGGGGACGGAGAAGGCUAUGUUGGCCGGGCGACGGUUGUCCCGGUUUAAGCAUGUAGGCGGAUGUUCCAGGUAAAUCCGGAACGUUACUAACGCUGAGGUGUGAUGACGAGGCACUACGGUGCUGAAGUGACAAAUGCCCUGCUUCCAGGAAAAGCCUCUAAGCAUCAGGUAACAUCAAAUCGUACCCCAAACCGACACAGGUGGUCAGGUAGAGAAUACCAAGGCGCUUGAGAGAACUCGGGUGAAGGAACUAGGCAAAAUGGUGCCGUAACUUCGGGAGAAGGCACGCUGAUGGUAGGUGAAGUGACUUGCUCAUGGAGCUGAAAUCAGUCGAAGAUACCAGCUGGCUGCAACUGUUUAUUAAAAACACAGCACUGUGCAAACACGAAAGUGGACGUAUACGGUGUGACGCCUGCCCGGUGCCGGAAGGUUAAUUGAUGGGGUUAUCCUCGCGGAGAAGCUCUUGAUCGAAGCCCCGGUAAACGGCGGCCGUAACUAUAACGGUCCUAAGGUAGCGAAAUUCCUUGUCGGGUAAGUUCCGACCUGCACGAAUGGCGUAAUGAUGGCCAGGCUGUCUCCACCCGAGACUCAGUGAAAUUGAACUCGCUGUGAAGAUGCAGUGUACCCGCGGCAAGACGGAAAGACCCCGUGAACCUUUACUAUAGCUUGACACUGAACACUGGUCCUUGAUGUGUAGGAUAGGUGGGAGGCUUUGAAGUGUGGACGCCAGUCUGCAUGGAGCCAUCCUUGAAAUACCACCCUUUAAUGGCUGGUGUUCUAACGUGGGCCCGUGAUCCGGGUUGCGGACAGUGUCUGGUGGGUAGUUUGACUGGGGCGGUCUCCUCCUAAAGAGUAACGGAGGAGCACGAAGGUCAGCUAAUCCUGGUCGGACAUCAGGAGGUUAGUGCAAUGGCAUAAGCUGGCUUGACUGCGAGCGUGACGGCGCGAGCAGGUGCGAAAGCAGGUCAUAGUGAUCCGGUGGUUCUGAAUGGAAGGGCCAUCGCUCAACGGAUAAAAGGUACUCCGGGGAUAACAGGCUGAUACCGCCCAAGAGUUCAUAUCGACGGCGGUGUUUGGCACCUCGAUGUCGGCUCAUCACAUCCUGGGGCUGAAGUAGGUCCCAAGGGUAUGGCUGUUCGCCAUUUAAAGUGGUACGCGAGCUGGGUUUAGAACGUCGUGAGACAGUUCGGUCCCUAUCUGCCGUGGGCGCUGGAGAAUUGAGGGGGGCUGCUCCUAGUACGAGAGGACCGGAGUGGACGCAUCACUGGUGUUCGGGUUGUCAUGCCAAUGGCAUUGCCCGGUAGCUAAAUGCGGAAGAGAUAAGUGCUGAAAGCAUCUAAGCACGAAACUUGCCCCGAGAUGAGUUCUCCCUGACUCCUUGAGAGUCCUGAAGGAACGUUGAAGACGACGACGUUGAUAGGCCGGGUGUGUAAGCGCAGCGAUGCGUUGAGCUAACCGGUACUAAUGAACCGUGAGGCUUAACCUU